GACGAGCCUCACAAACGUUAUUCGGAAUUACUGGGCUUAAAGGGUGCGUAGGCGGUGCGGAAAGUUGGGUGUGAAAUCCCUCGGCUCAACCGAGGAACUGCGCCCAAAACUACCGUACUCGAGGAAGAUAGAGGUGAGCGGAACUUACGGUGGAGCGGUGAAAUGCGUUGAUAUCGUAAGGAACACCCGUGGCGAAAGCGGCUCACUGGGUCUUUUCUGACGCUGAUGCACGAAAGCUAGGGGAGCAAACGGG
rnacentral:rRNA from 1 species